ACGUAGGGUGCAAGCGUUGUCCGGAAUUACUGGGUGUAAAGGGAGCGCAGGCGGACCGGCAAGUUGGAAGUGAAAACUAUGGGCUUAACCCAUAAAUUGCUUUCAAAACUGCUGGCCUUGAGUAGUGCAGAGGUAGGUGGAAUUCCCGGUGUAGCGGUGGAAUGCGUAGAUAUCGGGAGGAACACCAGUGGCGAAGGCGACCUACUGGGCACCAACUGACGCUGAGGCUCGAAAGCAUGGGUAGCAAACAG
rnacentral:rRNA from 1 species